AGUCAGACUUUAUUACAAAUUGGUAGCAUUCUAAAAUGUCCUUAUUUGUCUGUCUGAAAUGGACCUACUAAUCCACCAAAACAAGCACAGUGGGGAUUACCCAUGUCCUCACGGUGAGCUAUAGAGACCAGCAGUGCUGGGGACAAGUAGGCUACAGUGAUUUACCCAGGGAAAGAGGGAGAUGAGGGAAAGCAGAAAGAGGGUGAA
rnacentral:lncRNA from 1 species